rnacentral:rRNA from 1 species
AUUGAACGCUGGCGGCAUGCCUAACACAUGCGAGUCGAGCGAGCGGCGGACGUGUGAGUAAUGUAUGGGGCUCUGCCCGAUAGAGGGGGAUACCUACUGGCACCGGUGGCUAAUACCGCAUACUUUCUGAUGAACCCAUCUGGGAUUAGCUAGGAGGUGGGGUAAAGGCUCACCUAGGCGACGAGCGCUAGCUGGUCUGAGAGGAUGAUCAGCCACACUGGGACUGAGACAAGGCCCAGACUCCUACGGGAGGCAGCAGUGGGGAAUAUUGCACAAUGGGCGAAAGCCUGAUGCAGCCAAGCCGCGUGUAUGAAGAAGGCCUUAGGGUUGUAAAGUACUUUAAGCGGGGAGGCGUUACCCGCAGAAGAAGCACCGGCUAACGCCGUGCCAGCCGCCGCGGUAAUAC